CGAUAAGUUUAACUUCAGCACCUGAACUCCCUCCUUUUAGAACCGACUCCAUUUCAUACACAAUCAGAACUGAACAAGAAUUGAAGUGGUAGAUGGUUUGAUCUUCAAACCAUGCCUUCAGCUCUAAUAGCUGGGCCAAAAUCCCAGUAGAACCACCAUAAACACUAGAUGCAAACAAACUAUCAGGUACCAAAUUUGGAUCAGCAGAAGAGUUGGAAGAAACAAACUUUCUCAGAACCAAUGUAACCUCAUCUGCAGUAAGCUUCUGGACAGCCUUCCUCUCAGGUUUCCAGAAUCCUGACUCCUUGUUGCCGUGCACCUGCAAGCCUGAUAUCCUAAAACCCAACGACAAGCUGCUGGUUUCUCUAUCUUUCUUAAGGCAUCGCUGGAAAUAGUCCUCAGGCGCUUGGGGAUACCAUGUUCUGGAACCAAUCUUAAUGUCCAUGAUGGAUGGAUGCAAGUGACCUGAGACAACAUCCUGCAUGAUAAGGUGGGGACGCAAUCCAGAUCCAUCAGAUGCCUCUAAGAUUUGAGUGCCAUAGAAGAUGGGAAAGAAUUUUCUGAUGUGAUCUGGAACCCUUGUAUUUGAUGAGAGGGAUGUGUAGAAGGCCACCUCCCUAGAGCCACGCUCAUCACCUUGAAGAGGCUUGUAAAAGCGCCCUGAAUCAUCUAUAAGAGGGCCAAGCAGUCCAUCACUCGCUUUGUGACCUGCAACCUGAUGUUCUGGGAUCUUAAGCAUGGUGUGCAAGAGUAUGAAGAAUAGCACAGCAAAGAAUAUUUCCCGACUUGAUAUUUAUAUGUCUUGAAGGGAUGUUCAAUCUGUAAAAGUAGCUUAUCGAAGAAUCUCUUGCCCAAGCUUAAGGAUUAGAUCGAUGAUCAUCUAGCGAAGGACAGUGAAAGCGCAAGUGUACCUACAAAGGUAAGGUUUUUUUUUUUUUUUUUUCUCUUGAGAAG
rnacentral:misc_RNA from 1 species